rnacentral:sRNA from 1 species
UUUUAACCGCUCUUCGCCACAUCAUAGCGACAGCCAAUGGGUGGACUUGAGGAGCAAACACCCUGAGCAACCCCGAAAGGAGAGAGCCAUGUCUUUUGAAUUACCUGCCUUACCUUAU